rnacentral:lncRNA from 1 species
GCUGUUUCUAGGGACUCGGGCUCCUGGUCCAGCUUUAGAAGAACUCGGUUUCUCAUGCCUUGUUGUCACAGCCCCUGCUGCAACCUGUGGUUAGUUCUCCCCUGCCCCUGCAGGACUGCAUUUUAAGGAAUCCACCAGCUCCUUGGUCUCCUCACUAUGGCUGGUUACUUGCUACCACGCACUCUUACCAGGAAAAUGCCUGGUUCUUACAAGGAUGAGAACGAGAGAUUCUGGAUGGUUGUAGGCCUGGAAUUUAUUUUCCGUGCAACAACAGAUAACACGAUUAGUGACAGAGAACAUCUGGUCCUGAACCUGGAGUACGCCUAUGAUCCUGCGAAUGGCUGUGGCUGCUUCUCAGAGCAUCCCUGAAUUUAUGAUGAUCUGCUUCUGUGAGCCUGGCUGUCUGUGUCCUGAACCUUCUCCCUUCCUGGGUACAGCUUCCCUUUUCUUGACUUCAUUUUCCUGAGAUGCUGACCUCACAGCUUGUCCUUAUAUGACACCUCUUCCCUUUGAACCCCUCUCCUGGGAUCCCAGUGCAGCAUGGCUCUCAGGUGACUGUGAUCUGGAGGAACCUGUGGAGCAGGUAUGGAUGGGGACUCCAUGCCCUGUGGAUCUCUGAGCUACCAAUGCUGACUAGAAUUGACCUCGAGCUGGAUAGAGGACUCUGUGCUCAAUGGCUUGAAGACACAAUGGGAUGUGUGCAGGAGCAUCUGGUGUACUUCUCCUAUAUGCUCAGUACUUGGCUCCUAUAUGUGAUGCUGACCAAAACCCCACCCCAAACUUGUUUUAACCAAUUAAAAUUUACUG